rnacentral:tRNA from 1 species
GCCUGGGUGGCUCAGUCGGUUGGGCGUCUGACUUCGUCUCAGGUCAUGAUCUCGCGGUCCGUGAGUUCGAGCCCCACGUCGGGCU